AGUGAACGCUGGCGGUAGGCCUAACACAUGCAAGUCGAACGGCAGCACAGUAAGAGCUUGCUCUUACGGGUGGCGAGUGGCGGACGAGUGAGGAAUACAUCGGAAUCUACUUUUUCGUGGGGGAUAACGUAGGGAAACUUACGCUAAUACCGCAUACGACCUACGGGUGAAAGCAGGGGAUCUUCGGACCUUGCGCGAUUGAAUGAGCCGAUGUCGGAUUAGCUAGUUGGCGGGGUAAAGGCCCACCAAGGCGACGAUCCGUAGCUGGUCUGAGAGGAUGAUCAGCCACACUGGAACUGAGACACGGUCCAGACUCCUACGGGAGGCAGCAGUGGGGAAUAUUGGACAAUGGGGGCAAGCCUGAUCCAGCCAUACCGCGUGGAUGAAGAAGGCCUUCGGGUUGUAAAGCCCUUUUGUUGGGAAAGAAAAGCAGCAGGUUAAUACCCCGCUGUUCUGACGGUACCCAAAGAAUAAGCACCGGCUAACUUCGUG
rnacentral:rRNA from 1 species